rnacentral:rRNA from 1 species
UACGAAGGGUGCAAGCGUUACUCGGAAUUACUGGGCGUAAAGCGUGCGUAGGUGGUUUGUUAAGUCUGUUGUGAAAGCCCCGGGCUCAACCUGGGAAUGGCAAUGGAUACUGGCAGGCUAGAGUGCGGUAGAGGGUAGUGGAAUUCCCGGUGUAGCGGUGAAAUGCGUAGAGAUCCGGAAGAACACCAGUGGCGAAGGCGGCCCGCUGGGCAGUGGCUGACGCUGAGGCGCGACAGCGUGGGGAGCAAACAGG